GGUAGCCGGACUGAGAGGUUGAACGGCCACAUUGGGACUGAGACACGGCCCAGACUCCUACGGGAGGCAGCAGUGGGGAAUAUUGCACAAUGGGGGAAACCCUGAUGCAGCGACGCCGCGUGGAGGAAGAAGGUCUUCGGAUUGUAAACUCCUGUUGUUGAGGAAGAUAAUGACGGUACUCAACAAGGAAGUGACGGCUAACUACGUGCCAGCAGCCGCGGUAAAACGUAGGUCACAAGCGUUGUCCGGAAUUACUGGGUGUAAAGGGAGCGCAGGCGGGAAGACAAGUUGGAAGUGAAAUCUAUGGGCUCAACCCAUAAACUGCUUUCAAAACUGUUUUUCUUGAGUAGUGCAGAGGUAGGCGGAAUUCCCGGUGUAGCGGUGGAAUGCGUAGAUAUCGGGAGGAACACCAGUGGCGAAGGCGGUCUACUGGGCACCAACUGACGCUGAGGCUCGAAAGCAUGGGUAGCAAACAGGAUUAGAUACCCUGGUAGUCCAUGCCGUAAACGAUGAUUACUAGGUGUUGGAGGAUUGACCCCUUCAGUGCCGCAGUUAACACAAUAAGUAAUCCACCUGGGGAGUACGACCGCAAGGUUGAAACUCAAAGGAAUUGACGGGGGCCCGCACAAGCAGUGGAGUAUGUGGUUUAAUUCGAAGCAACGCGAAGAACCUUACCAGGUCUUGACAUCCGAUGCAUAGCGCAGAGAUGCGUGAAGUCCUUCGGGACAUCGAGACAGGUGGUGCAUGGUUGUCGUCAGCUCGUGUCGUGAGAUGUUGGGUUAAGUCCCGCAACGAGCGCAACCCUU
rnacentral:rRNA from 1 species